AGGCGGUUAGCUCAGUCAGUUAGAGUGUGGUACUGAUAACACCAAGGUUGUGGGUGCGAUCCCCAUUCGGUCCC
rnacentral:tRNA from 1 species